AACGGCCGCGGGAUCCUACACCGUGCAAAGGUAGCAUAAUCAUUUGUCACCUAAAUAGUGACUAGUAUGAAUGGCCUAAUGAGGACUUUUCUGUCUCUUGUAACCAAUCAAUGAAACUGAUCCCCCAGUCCAAAAGCUGGGAUAAAAUCACAAGACGAAAAGACCCUGUGGAACUUUUAAGUAUAAAUCACCAUAUGAUAUAAUACUUUUAGUUGGGGCAACUUUGGAACAAAAUAAAACUUCCAAUUAAAUUUGUCUAACCUUAAUCUAGGUUUACACACCAACAUUAAAAAUUACACUGACCCAGUCCUACUGACUAAAGAAACAAGCUACCCCAGGGAUAACAGCGCCAUCCCCUCUUAGAGUCCCAAUCGACGAGCGGGGCUUACGACCUCGAUGUUGGAUCAGGGCCCCCCAACAGUGCAGCAGCUGU
rnacentral:rRNA from 2 species